GGUGGUCAUUUUGGGUCAUGGGCCUGGCACGUUUACCCCAAGAAGGGAGAAGGUCAUCCAUAGGCCAGCCCCUCUUCAAGGCCCAGUAUGCAGGACACCCGUGUGUUGGGGCCUGCCGAAGGUCCUCCACACACUGCCACAGGUAGGCUGCCUGCAGCAGGCCACCUACUCCAGCUGCACUUCAGCUUGGGCUGUGGGAGGCUUUCUGUCUGAGGCGGCGACUGUAAGUUAUCAGAGAAGCUCCAGGUGCCCCAGGCUGUGCAUUUCUUUAAAAUCAAGACACAUGAGUAGUGAGCAGAACGUUCUUGGUGGCACGGACAGCUAGAUGCUUUUCCUAAAAGAUACUAGACAAUACUUCCAGUUGCCAGGUUGCUUUGAAUUUAAAAAAAAAAAAUUCUCCCCGGGAAUGUAGGUAGCCAGCACCAGUGGCAAGCAGCGUGUUCCGUCCUCACGCUCCUGAUGAUGCUGUGGGUGGCAUCCGUGACUGUGGCCCUCGUGACGGGCAGGUCGCCUGGCAGUGGCUCUGCCAAUUCUUACACUAAGGAUGUGGCCCUUGACAAAUGCUUCAGUCUUAUUUUUCUGACUUCUUGGGAAUUGGAUAGUAAUUUUUAAAGUAUUAUGAAACAUUCCUAAGUAUGUGAUGGCAGCUGUCAUAAUAGGCUUUAAUGAACUUUGUAUUAACCUGAUAGUAUGUAUGUAAAAUCACAGUUUCUUUCAUUGAGGUUGCCACGUUAAAGUAGAGCAACCUGUUUUUAAAUACAGUGUAUUUGAUUCUCACAUCAGGUGACCUUAGGCUGGUCUUGGUUGAGCUUUUCUCUGAACUGAGGCUAAGGGAGCCACACAACUGUGAGCUUGAGGAGACUGCCGUGUUCAGAGUGCCUUACUUUUAACCAGUUUCCAAUAAAAUGGUUCUGUGCCUGCUUUUGUUUACUAAACACAGUGUCCCUCUCUGGGUGGCGACUCCUCUGUGGCUGGGGGCAGGUGGAUCUGUCAGGUGAGGCUGAGCUUCUGGGCUAUCCUAUGAUGCCGUGAGCCGAUCCAAUGACACCAUGACCCCCAGGGCUGGACCAGGCUAUGUCCUGGAAUUGCCCCACCUGCCAGCGGCUUUCCUUCUGCUUCUGUGCGGGGCACAGAGGAAGCCGUCUUCCUUUGCAGUCUUUGAAAUGCCAUGGUGACAGGCACCUGGUCUAGAGGGCCUGAUUCUGCAGAGUGCCCGGAGACUGCCUCUGUAGGGCACUUUGGGGUGCAGCAGAGAUGGAAGAUAUCCAGGUGACAGCAAAUCUGCCCCUGCAGAGACAGCUGCUGAGGGCUGGGGAUGUAGCUCAGCAAACUUGGUGAAGUGCAGGGCCCUGGUUCAACCCCCAGACCACCAGGAGUCUCUGAGCCCCAGUGUGCACAACCAGAAGGUUGUGGGUUCCCUGGCCACUAAGAGCUGGCUGCCCAGCGCCCAGCUGCAGUGCAGGACAGCCAGGGAAGGGGCUCAGAACAGGAAUCCAGGGAGGUAGCUACAUGACCUUGGGGAAGAAAGGAGCUUGCUGGGCAGAGUGCCACCCGGGCUGUUUGUGUGGGAGGCCUUGGGAAGCAGAAGUGCCCGUGUCCCCGCCUUUGCAGGCAGGGCACUGAGGGAUGGUGAUCCCCAAAUGUCCUUUGCAUCCUGGUCCAGGGCCCUCAUACCUGGUCACUCCUGGUGCCACAGGGCCCCCGGUUUCUGUGACACAAGCAGACUGCUCUGGGUAAAUAAUGUUGGCAACAUUCACCAAAAGCUUUACCAAAGAAGGGCUGACGGGCGGGGCUGAUGGGUGGGUGUCAGCCUUCCAGGGAGGUGGGUGAGCUCCUGGGUCUGGCUGCUGCUGCUUCUGCAGCAGCAGCAGCUGCACAGGGCCUUGGUGGCCUUGAGACGAUGAGUCCUGGGCAUGUUCCAGGAAGGUGGGACAGAUCCGUUCACAGUUGACCUGGGCCCUCAGACUUGGUGAUCAUGUGGAAAUGCGGAGCAGAGGUGACCUGCAGCCUCCGCAAACCUCACACCUCUGUUUGCAGAGCAGAGGCCCCUCACAGCCCUCAGCCCACACUCUACCAGAUCACCGUGGUCACCACUGAGCCUCACUGUCACACCCUGUGCUGCAGGGUGGCACUGAAAAGACAAACCCCAUUUUGCAGUGAAGAGUCAGCUGCACAGAAUGCUGGUCUGGGUUCUAUCCCAAGGAGCAUUAGCACAGGGAAGAGCAGGAGGGGCUCCCACUGAGCUCAGGUGGGGCCUGAGUCUGGCGCUCAUCCCAGCUGUUCUCUUGCUCCCUCCCAGGGCUCAAGAUAGGCACAGGUUCCAGCAGGGGAAAGGUGUCCCGCACACAGCCAGUUGGGAGGCUCUGAGCUGUGACUUGAUGGGAUUCUUUCACUGGAGGCACCUGGGUUCCAGGAGAUGUUCAGCCAGGAAGAAGAACUUUCAUAAACUAGGACUUAGGAGCAGUGUGCUGAGCUCCCAGGGCCCCGUGCUCUCUGCCCAGGUCUUCCUUUAAAGUCUCAGGGCAUAGUCUGUCACAGGAACUGCCUUGGCCUGGCCCUCAACCGGGGCCCUUGCAGGUCUCAGAGGCACUGACCCCAGGUGCCUGCCCACCAACCUCAGCACUGAGCUCAGUGCUCAGCCUUUCUCUGCAUUUCAUCCUGGCCCAUGCUCUUGACUCCCACCCUCCAACCUUGGGGUACCCACCUUCCCCAAAGAAAGACCUCCAAGACAUUGUCCUGGGUUGUGCUUCCCAGGAACCCCUGGAAGUCAUCACUUAUGGCCAUCUGGGUCUAGGAAUGUGAUUAGCCAAGUUGCAGCAGGAGGUAGAGUUCCCUCAUGACUAAGUUCAUGUGUCACCUUAGUGGGUUCAGAGAUGUCCUUGUACCUGAUGAGGCACUGUUUGUGGGUGUCUCUGCGGUGUCCCCAUGAGGUUAGCAUUGGACGACCAAGUGAACCCAGGCAGAGAAGAGAGAAUUUGCCUUCCCUCUGCAGGUUGCUUGAGCUGGGGCCUGGCCUUAUGCAUGAUUGUGUGAGACUCCCUAAUGACAGGUUUGCUGAAAUAUUUAAGAGUUUUGCAUGUCAUGCUGGGUAUGGUGGCACACACCUGUCAUCUCAGCUGCUUAGGAUGCUGAGACAGGAGGAUCAUCAAGUUCAAGGCCAGCCUGGGCAACUUAGUAAGACCCUGUAUCAAAAAAAAAAAAAAAAAAAGGGAUGGAAUGUAGCUCAGUGGUAGAGUACCCCUGGGUUCAAUCCCCAGUACUGCCCAAAAUCUUUUUAUCUUUUUUUUCUGCCCAAAAAAAGAUAAAAAGAUUAAAAAGUCAGGGCUGGGAUUGUGGCUCAGCAGUAGAGUACUCCCCUAGCACGGGCGGGACCAGGUUCUAUCCUAGCGCCACAUAAAAAUAAAGGCAUUGUGUUGUGUCCAUCUACACCAAAAGAAAAUAAAUAUUAAAAAAAAGGAUUAAAAAGUCGUUUUCAUCUUUACUCAUAAGUUUAAUAUAGGUUUUUGCUAUGCUUGUGGGUUUGGGUUUAGGGUUAAGCUAGAAUUGUAAUUAACUGUGGUUUUCUGUAUCAUGAACGGUUUGAUAAAAGACCAGGAUGUAGUGUUUUUUUUCGGGGGAGUUGGUAUUUCAGUACUGCUUUGGUUUCUUUCACAAUUCUUGACCUAUUGUUGUCUAGGUUUUAAGUCUACCAUUUAGUUAAUGUUUUUCUCGAAAGUCGUCCAUUUAAUUUAGUCUUUCAAAUGCAUACAAAUAUUUGCCUAGUGCAGAAUCUCUCAUCAGUGGUUGUGUUGUUUCUCUGUAUGGUCUUCCUGAUCCCAGGUAACUUGUCCCUCUUCACAGGAGCAAGGAGUGAAUCUGCUGGUUGAGUCCCCACUUUCCUUUUCAUUACCUGGGGGGUCUGGGCAGCAAGGUACUCUUGGCCCUCCCACGCUGACCUACUGGGACUCAACCUGGGCCUCAGGGGACCUGGCGUCUUCUGCUUUCCUCUCAUUUAUUUGCUUGGUGUGAAGGAGCCCCAGCUGUCCUGCUGGUGCCGUAGCCUAGUGAUGACCAGCACCACAUGCCAGACACUUGCUGGGGUGGAGCCACUUGCUGACCAGAGCCACAGGGUGCCUGGCAGAGUAGGACAAGCUGUUGAUCCAGAAAACAUGUGUCCAAAGAAAAUGGUAGCUGUUCUAAGCCGCCAAGUUUUGGGUAAUUCAUGAUUCACCAAUAAACACUCGAUACAUUCCCCCCCCCCCAAGUAUACUAAAAUCAAUGGUAUUUUUAUAUAGUAGCCAAAAUAAUGGAAAAUGAAAAUAGUAUUUACAAUAGAAUUGAGAACAUAAAAUUCGUAGUAAUGAAUUUAAUAAAGUAUAUGUAAGACGGGUACACUAAGAACUACAUUACUGAGAGAACUUAAGAGCUGGAUAAAUAUGCACAUUAUUCAUGAAUCAGAUGACUCAAUUUCUAAAAAUUUAGCAAUAUUUUUAUUGUGUUAAAAUACACAUAAAUUUACCAUCUUGCCUUUUUUUUUGUACUAGGAUUUGAACCCAGGGGCACUUAACCACUGAGCCACAUCCUCAGCCCUUUUUUAAAAAUAUUUUUUUAGCUGUUGAUAGGCCUUUAUUUUAUUAUAUGAGGUGCUGAGAAUUGAACCCAGUGCCUGCCUCACACAUGCCAAGCAAGUGUGCUGCUGCUCAGCCCCAGCCCAUUUUUAUAUUUUAUUUAGAGACAAGGUCUACCUGCAUUGCUUAGGGCCUUGCUAAGUUGCUGAGGCUGGCUUUGAACUUGUGAUCCUCCUAAGCCACUGGGAUUAUUGACCAUUUUUAGGUAGACUUUUCAGGAACAAGUACGUUCAUGUUGUACAACCAACACAACCAUCCAUCUCCAGAACUUUUUCAUCUUGCAAAACCGAAACUCUGAUCCCAUAAAACAACUCCCCAGUCCUCCCUGCAGCUCUUUCAACUACUGCCCUGCUGAGCCUCUACAGACUUGGCUGCUCCAAGUAUCUUGUAUAGAAAGGGAAUUGUACAUUAUUUCUUUGUGUGACGGCCUUAUGAGAGUUUCCCUAAUCUCUUGAGGGUACCACUUCUUUUUACAUUACCAUCUUCUUUUGAGUUUAGCUAAUUUUUUGGUUAAAAAAAUACUAAAUUCAUUCAUCAUUUCUUUUUCAUAUAUUCUAGAGCUCUUUUCCUUGUGUUACCAUGGAGACUGAAAUGCAACAGUGGUCCACUUUAUGCUUUGAAUGUAGCCCUUGCUGAUCUUCCGCUGCAACUUAUUUUAAAAAUGGACCUGUUUCUGGGGCUGGGAUGUGGCUCAGCAGUAGAGCACUCGCCUGGCACGGGCGGGACCCAGGUUCGAUCCUCAGCACCACAUUAAAAAAAAAAAAAAAAAAGAGGCAUUGUGUUGUGUCCAUCUACACCUAAAAAUAAAUAUUUUUUUUUAAAAAUGGACCUGUUUCUUUCUCUUCCUCUCUCCCUGAUCCUCCUCAAUCUUAGGGGGAACAGGGUCACCUUCUUUCCCAUCCUAGGCAGAGUUAUCUGUCCCUGAGCAUGCACCCACCCUGGGAACGAAGUAAACAAGACUUUGGGGAUGGCACCAGAAGAUCUCAGAAAUGACUGUCUCCCAAAUUAACAAAUCACAAUUCAACAGAGAACCCUGGGAUGUAGCCUUUGAACCACCUCUCUAACAGCCCUCUGUUCCUGCAGAGGGGCAGAAUCACAGCCUCUGGGGCAGCAGUCCCCUGUGUUUCCCCUUUGCUAUCAAAGCAAGAAGCCUUUUUUCUCAAAAUCAUAUGUUGCUAAAAGCUUGGUCCUUGUCCCUGAAGCCAAUCCAAUAACAAGGACAUGCUUUUGAGAAAAAGGAAAAAAUUAGUUUAUUGCUUUUAGGAAGGAUAGAUCAGGGGAAAGAAGAUCAGGGAGAAGUUGAGGGAAAAAGAUAUCAGAGAAGAUCAGGGAAAAGUUUAGGAAAAUGAGGAUUAUAGAGGAGAAGUUGAGGGAAAAGUAGAUCAGAGAGGAGAAAAAGCUUGGGGAAAAGAAAAAAAGUUCUAAAGCCACAGGGAUAUAGUCAAAGCAUCAAGUGGACCCUGUCACAUCCUCAUUACUGGAUUGGCAUCCGGGACAAGGACCGAACUUUGGGCAACAAUUACUUUAACAUUCUAAGACUUUAAUGUUCCAAUUUGAGUUUGUGCCAUCUUAACCUCAGUAACGCAUGCCAAAAAUGUGCCUCCUCAUACCUCCAUUCUCAACCCAUUUAAGGUGCUAAUGUGACAAAAUCACGUUUUUAACACUGUCCAAGAACAAACUAGUAAUUGCACAUAUAAAUAUAUAUAUGUAUAUGGGGGAUACCAGGGAUUGAACUCAGGGACACUCAACCACUGAGCCACACCCCAGCCCUAUUUUGUAUUUUAUUUAGAGACAGGGUGAAGGGAAAGCAAGGAACAAGAGAUGGGUAAGCAAGAAAUGAAAGAUGAGACCAGCAGGCAGAGAUGCGCAGGAGAGUGUAUUGUCAGAGUUGACAAAGGCCAUCUCUGUGGGAGAGUCUAGUUCUGGGACUUUUAUGGGGAGGUUCAGGAGUGAGAGACGGGUGGGUCCCAAUGCGGGUGGAUAGGGGUUGAGUUGGUGUGAGGGAGUGCUGAGCCUUUCUCAGAAAGGCCCUUGGGUGGGAAAGCAAAGGCUGUCAAGAUGGCCAUCCACAUGCUAAGCAAGGACCUUAUAUUCCCCCUUUUUUGUGUGUUUAUUAGGCCCCUUAGGGAACAGGGACAGGUCAAUCUCCUAUAACUGCUUCCUGCUGGGAAGGGGUGUUUGAAUCUCUCAUUAGGGGUGCAGGAUGUCACUGGAAUCAUGAUGGAGGUCAAGUGGUGGUGGAAUACUGUCCCCGGUUCCCCAAUUUUUGGUGAGCGAUUGGUAUUCCUAUAAUAAAAGCUGGUUUACAGUUUUGUUACAGAUUAUUUGGACCUGGUCUUGAGCCAAUCUAAUGAUGCAGGGGACAAGCAUUAACAGAAGGCCUGUGACAAGGAGAGGGGUCAGGAGAGGAAGUGCCCACUGGAGAAGGGGUGACAUGGUGGCCACCUUCAGCAGAGGAGAGCUGUUGUUUCUGACCUUCAAGGUCCUGUUGGAGUUGUUUAUCUGUCCUUUGCUCUGCAGAUUGAUUGACACCAAACAGCAUUCAUCCUGUAGAGACAAAGUCCGCCUCUUUUGGCCAUGAAAAGAUCAAGGCCCCUUGGAUUCUGCAGUACCACAGCUGCUGAAGAAUCGAGCUGGGACUGGGUGGUGAAGCAGCUGUUCCCCUAACCGAACCUAACUGGGACUAUCAAGAUGGCCAACAAGGUCGCCGUCACUGUGCUCGCGUGGUCCAAUAUCUUAUAGCAGGCAUGCAAGCAGUUCCUAAUAAGGCCAUGCCCCACCUGUAACCAGACAGGACAUUGGAAGAUUGACUGCCCCAUGGCUGGCCCUUCCUCGGUGCCUCUACGCAGGGGGUAUGACCAGUCAGGCAGUCCCUUCUCCUGAACUAUUGGGGUUUGCAGAAGACUGAAGAGGCCCAGACUUGAAGAUCCCCAUCACCCUCGCUGAGCCCAGGGUAACGCUCCAGGCAGCGGGUAAGUCCAUACGGGGGCUACCUAUUCUGUCUUGCCUGCCCAUUCUGGCCUCUGUUUCCUUCCCAGGUCUCAGUUAUGGGGAUUGAUGACCAACCCUUCUCCCAGACAGAACUGUAAGGCUGGCCUGUGCCCUGGAGGGACACCCAUUCACUCACUCUUUUCUGGUCAUUCCAUCCUGUCAGUUCCUCUCCCAGGCAGAGAUGUUCUCCAAUUACUAGGAGCCACCCUCCAACUACACCCCAAGAAUACUACCACCCAUCUCCUUCUGCCUUUAAUUCUUACCCUCUCUAAUGACCUGACCUAAUUGUCCCCAGAUCUGGGACAUCUCCAAGCCAGUCAUAGCCUCCCACCACAAGCCAGGCCGAAUCCAGCUGAAACCCCAAACUAAACUUCCUUGAGUCCCUAAGACUCCCCCUGCAACACUCCCAUAUUUCUGGUACGCAAACCCUCAGAAGCUUAUCACUUAGUCCAGGACCUUUGCCUAAUUAACGAGGCUGUUAUUCCCAUCCACCCGGUGGUUUCUGGCCCUCACACUUUUCUUACUCAUAUCCCCCUUUGACCACUCACUUUACUAUCCUGGAUCUUAAAGUUGAUUUCUUUACAGUGCCUCUGCAUCCUGACUCUUAAUACCUCUUUGCCUUCACAUGGAAAGACCCUACAUUCUUUAGGUUUCAACAGCUGACAUGGACAGGCCUACCCCAAGGCUUCAGGAACAGUCCCUACCUCUUUGGUCAGGCCUUGACACAGGAUUUAACUGUUUGUGAUUUUGGAAUAGCACUCUCUUACAGUUGGAUAGAAGCCUUCCCUACAUCCAGGGAAUCUGCUGACACCGUCACCUCCAUCCUCAUUGAGCAGAUCAUUUCCAGAUUUGGACUUCCUACCUCCAUCCAGUCAGACAACGGUCCAACCCUCACUUCUCAGGUUGCUCAACUAGUCUCCAAAGGCCUCAACAUCACGUGGAGGCUCCCCAUCCCCCAACGACCCCAUACAGUUAUACUUCCAUGCUGGGGCCCACCGAACUCAAGAUUUCUCGCCAACCCUCUCCUUCUUUUACUAAUCAUUAAUCUCUCAAGCUUCUAUCCCAACCCACAGAUGGCGCUUCUACAUCCAAGGGACAUGGCAACAGGAUGGCACCACCCGCUCUCAGUUUAUGGGCCAAGGCGAUUGCC